rnacentral:tRNA from 1 species
UCCCGAGUAGCUCAGUGGUAGAGCAGAGAGCUGUUAACUCUAAGGUCGGUGGUUCGAGCCCGCCCUCGGGAGCCA